rnacentral:rRNA from 1 species
GUGAGGAAUAUUGGACAAUGGGCGCAAGCCUGAUCCAGCCAUGCCGCGUGCAGGAAGACGCAUCUAUGGUGUGUAAACUGCUUUUGUACGGGAAGAAACACUCCCUCGUGAGGGAGCUUGACGGUACCGUAAGAAUAAGGAUCGGCUAACUCCGUGCCAGCAGCCGCGGUAAUACGGAGGAUCCAAGCGUUAUCCGGAAUCAUUGGGUUUAAAGGGUCCGUAGGCGGUUUAAUAAGUCAGUGGUGAAAGCCCAUCGCUCAACGAUGGAACGGCCAUUGAUACUGUUAGACUUGAAUUACAAGGAAGUAACUAGAAUAUGUAGUGUAGCGGUGAAAUGCUUAGAUAUUACAUGGAAUACCAAUUGCGAAGGCAGGUUACUACUUGUGGAUUGACGCUGAUGGACGAAAGCGUGGGGAGCGAACAGGAUUAGAUACCCUUGUGUCC